rnacentral:rRNA from 1 species
GGACCGUAUACAAGUCUCCUGGGAUGGAGCAUCAUAGAGGGUGAGAAUCCCGUCUUUGAUACGGACUACCAGUGCAUUGUGGUAUGCUCUCAACGAGUCGAGUUGUUUGGGAAUGCAGCUCAAAAUGGGUGGUAAAUUCCAUCUAAAGCUAAAUAUUGGCGAGAGACCGAUAGCGAACAAGUACCGUGAGGGAAAGAUGAAAAGAACUUUGGAAAGAGAGUUAAACAGUACGUGAAAUUGCUGAAAGGGAAACGCUUGAAGUCAGUCACGUCUGCUGGGAAUCAGCCUCGCUCCUGCGUGGUGUACUUUCUGGUAGACGGGUCAGCAUCAGUUUUGACCAUUGGAAAAAGGUGUGGGGAAUGUGACAGCUCCGGCUGUGUUAUAGCCUCAUAUUGUAUACAGUGGUUGGGACUGAGGAACGCAGCACGCCGCAAGGCCGGGUCUUUGACCACGUUCGUGCUUAGGAUGCUGGCAUAAUGGCUUUAAGCGACCCGUCUUGAAACACGGACCAAGGAGUCUAACAUGCCUGCGAGUGUUUGGGUGGAAAACUCGAGCGCGCAAUGAAAGUGAAAGUUGAGAUCCCUGUCGUGGGGAGCAUCGACGCCCGGACCAGAACUUUUGGGACGGAUCCGCGGUAGAGCAUGUAUGUUGGGACCCGAAAGAUGGUGAACUAUGCCUGAAUAGGGUGAAGCCAGAGGAAACUCUGGUGGAGGCUCGUAGCGGUUCUGACGUGCAAAUCGAUCGU